UGCAAGUCGAACGAUGAAGCCCUUCGGGGUGGNNUAGUGGCGAACGGGUGAGUAACACGUGGGCAAUCUGCCCUGCACUCUGGGACAAGCCCUGGAAACGGGGUCUAAUACCGGAUAUGACUGUCCACCGCAUGGUGGAUGGUGUAAAGCUCCGGCGGUGCAGGAUGAGCCCGCGGCCUAUCAGCUUGUUGGUGAGGUAGUGGCUCACCAAGGCGACGACGGGUAGCCGGCCUGAGAGGGCGACCGGCCACACUGGGACUGAGACACGGCCCANACUCCUACGGGAGGCAGCAGUGGGGAAUAUUGCACAAUGGGCGAAAGCCUGAUGCAGCGACGCCGCGUGAGGGAUGACGGCCUUCGGGUUGUAAACCUCUUUCAGCAGGGAAGAAGCGAAAGUGACGGUACCUGCAGAAGAAGCGCCGGCUAACUACGUGCCAGCAGCCGCGGUAAUACGUAGGGCGCAAGCGUUGUCCGGAAUUAUUGGGCGUAAAGAGCUCGUAGGCGGCUUGUCACGUCGGUUGUGAAAGCCCGGGGCUUAACCCCGGGUCUGCAGUCGAUACGGGCAGGCUAGAGUUCGGUAGGGGAGAUCGGAAUUCCUGGUGUAGCGGUGAAAUGCGCAGAUAUCAGGAGGAACACCGGUGGCGAAGGCGGAUCUCUGGGCCGAUACUGACGCUGAGGAGCGAAAGCGUGGGGAGCGAACAGGAUUAGAUACCCUGGUAGUCCACGCCGUAAACGGUGGGCACUAGGUGUGGGCAACAUUCCCACGUUGUCCGUGCCGCAGCUAACGCAUUAAGUGCCCCGCCUGGGGAGUACGGCCGCAA
rnacentral:rRNA from 1 species